UACAGAGGUGCCGAGCGUUUAGGCGGAAUCACUGGGCUUAAAGCGUGUGUAGGCGGAUGCCUAAGUACCUUGUGAAAUCCCACGGCUUAACCGUGGAACUGCUCGGUAUACUGGGUGUCUUGAGCCACUUAGGGGUUACCGGAACAAAUGGUGGAGCGGUGAAAUGCGUAGAUAUCAUUUGGAACGCCAAUGGUGAAAACAGGUAACUGGGAGUGUGCUGACGUGGAGACACGAAAGCCAGGGGAGCGAACGGG
rnacentral:rRNA from 1 species